rnacentral:rRNA from 1 species
AGUGAACGCUGGCGGUAGGCCUAACACAUGCAAGUCGAACGGCAGCACAGUAAGAGCUUGCUCUUACGGGUGGCGAGUGGCGGACGGGUGCGGAAUACAUCGGAAUCUACUUUUUCGUGGGGGAUAACGUAGGGAAACUUACGCUAAUACCGCAUACGACCUACGGGUGAAAGCAGGGGAUCUUCGGACCUUGCGCGACUGAAUGAGCCGAUGUCGGAUUAGCUAGUUGGCGGGGUAAAGGCCCACCAAGGCGACGAUCCGUAGCUGGUCUGAGAGGAUGAUCAGCCACACUGGGACUGAGACACGGUCCAGACUCCUACGGGAGGCAGCAGUGGGGAAUAUUGGACAAUGGGCGCAAGCCUGAUCCAGCCAUGCCGCGUGGGUGAAGAAGGCCUUCGGGUUGUAAAGCGCUUUUGUUGGGAAAGAAAAGCAGCAGGUUAAUACCCCGCUGUUCUGACGGUACCCAAAGAAUAAGCACCGGCUAACUUCGUG